rnacentral:rRNA from 1 species
CCCUUAGAUGUCCGGGGCUGCACGCGCGCUACACUGAAGGAAUCAGCGUGCUAAAACCAUUGUCGAAAGGCAUUGGUAAACCCAUUAAAAUCCUACGUGAUUGGGAUCGGGAAUUGCAAUUAUUUCCCUUGAACGAGGAAUUCCCAGUAAGUGUGGGUCAUAAGCUCGCGUUGGUUACGUCCCUGCCCUUUGUACACACCGCCCGUCGCUGCCCGGGACUGAGCCGUUUCGAGAAAAGCGGGGACUGCUGCUGUCGGGGCUUUCGGGCCUUGGCUUCGGUGGAAACCGCUUUAAUCGCAGUGGCUUGAACCGGGCAAAAGUCGUANCA